rnacentral:rRNA from 1 species
UACGUAGGGGGCAAGCGUUGUCCGGAAUCAUUGGGCGUAAAGAGCGCGUAGGCGGUCCGGUAAGUCCGCUCUGAAAGCCCGGGGGCUCAACCCCGGGAGGCGGGCGGAUACUGUCGGGCUAGAGUCCGGAAGAGGCGAGUGGAAUUCCUGGUGUAGCGGUGAAAUGCGCAGAUAUCAGGAGGAACACCGAUGGCGAAGGCAGCUCGCUGGGACGGUACUGACGCUGAGGCGCGAAAGCGUGGGGAGCAAACAGGAUUAGA